GCUUGUCUCAAAGAUUAAGCCAUGCAUGUCUCAGCAUAAGCUUCAACACGGUGAAACUGCAAAUGGCUCAUUAAAGCAGUUACAAUUUAUUUGAUGGUCACUGUUACAUGGAUAACUGUGGUAAUUCUAGAGCUAAUACAUGCAUCAAAACCUGACUCUUGGGAAGGGUUGUGUUUAUUAGAUACAAAACCAAUUCAGGUUCUUCCUGAUUCCUCUGGUGAUUCAUAAUAACUGUUCGGAUCGUAUGGCUUUUUGCCGACGACAGAUCAUUCAAAUUUCUGCCCUAUCAGCUUUCGACGGUACUGUAGUGGACUACCGUGGCAUUAACGGGUGACGGAGAAUUAGGGUUCGAUUCCGGAGAGGGAGCCUGAGAAAUGGCUACCACAUCCAAGGAAGGCAGCAGG
rnacentral:rRNA from 1 species